rnacentral:rRNA from 1 species
UACGUAGGGAGCAAGCGUUGUCCGGAAUCAUUGGGCGUAAAGCGCGCGUAGGCGGCCUCAUUAGUCCGCUGUGAAAGUCCAGGGCUCAACCCUGGAAUGCCGGUGGAUACUGUCGGGCUAGAGUCCGGAAGGGGCGAGUGGAAUUCCUGGUGUAGCGGUGAAAUGCGCAGAUAUCAGGAGGAACACCAAUGGCGAAGGCAGCUCGCUGGGACGUGACUGACGCUGAGACGCGAAAGCGUGGGGAGCAAACAGG